GAUGCUGGUGGUUGGCACUCCUGGCCUCCAGGAUGGGGUUCAAGUCCCUACAGUGUC
rnacentral:sRNA from 1 species